CAAACAUCACAACGUACUUACCAUGGUCCAUCAUUAAUUUGCUGUGUUGCUGUUUACCACUUGGAAUAGCAGCAGUCAUUUUUUCCUGCUCAGAAUGCUAAUGAACUGGGAAAUGUUGAUCAAGCGAGGAGUGCAUCUUCAACUGCCAAGAAACUGAACAUAGCAGGAACUGUAAUUGGAGUGAUUCUAAUAAUUGUAGUAGUUGUUGU